rnacentral:rRNA from 1 species
UAAGGAAUAUUGGUCAAUGGACGCAAGUCUGAACCAGCCAUGCCGCGUGAAGGAUUAAGGCCCUCUGGGUUGUAAACUUCUUUUAUAGGGGAAGAAAUGUGACGGUUCUCCGUCACUUGACGGUACCCUGGGAAUAAGCACCGGCUAACUCCGUGCCAGCAGCCGCGGUAAUACGGAGGGUGCAAGCGUUAUCCGGAUUACUGGGUUUAAAGGGUGCGUAGGUGGGUAUGUAAGUCAGUGGUGAAAUCCCCGAGCUUAACUUGGGAACUGCCAUUGAUACUAUAUAUCUUGAAUACCGUAGAGGUAAGCGGAAUAUGUCAUGUAGCGGUGAAAUGCUUAGAUAUGACAUGGAACACCAAUUGCGAAGGCAGCUUACUACGCGGUGAUUGACACUGAGGCACGAAAGCGUGGGUAGCAAACA